GUCGUUAUUUACACAUAAAGCCAUGGCGGUAGAUGAGAGUGCCAAUGGAAUGAGGUCAGAAAGCCAAGACAUGGGCAGUCCACUGUCAAGUCCCCAGGAAGAACUGGCAAAACAGACUGAGGAGAAGCCACCAGGGAAAAUGGAUGGAACUAGAAAACAUCAUCCUGAGUGAGGUAACUCAGACUCAGAAGGACCAACGUGGCAAAAACCGAAGUUCAAGUGAGUACCAGGCAUGUCUGAGAGAGAUAAAAGCUUGUUUCUGAUCAUCAGUUUCAAGUUGGAAAAACACUUUCCCGAGAGGCAGAAAAACUUUACAGAACAAAAUGGAAGAAGCCAUCACUCUGGGCAUUUUCUGGCUUCAAUAUUAACACACCUGCUAGGUGUACUAGGUGUAAAGGAACGGGCUGCUGCUCACCACAAUGAUGGGAACAUUCAUUGAAAAAGAGAGCUUUUGAAUGGGAUAAUAUCAACUAAUUAUAUCCUGGAAAAUGCCUGUCAACUCACACAAGAACAAUUCAAAGAAACACUUAGAAAACUAGACCGAGGCAAACAGCAAAAUACUAUUCACGUCAGUGAGAACUUCAGACGACACUCUUCAAACUGAAUAACAGCUCGGCGUUGCUAAAACUCCUUCCAGUGGAGGGUGAUGUCACAAUUUUAUCUGGCACUACCUGAAUAGCAUAAUUUGUUGUAUUACCUUUUCCCUACAAAGCUCCGUUUUCAGACCUCUCAGCUUUCAAGAGUGCAAUGAAGACCACCUUUUCUCUUGGUUUUCGCUUACUACCCUUAACUCAUUGGUUCACCCCGCUAUUCUCUGUACAGAUGGAGGCAGAUGAGCACCUCUGGGUGAAUAAACAAGUUUCUGCUCUG